UACGGGGGGAGCAAGCGUUGUUCGGAUUUACUGGGCGUAAAGGGCGCGUAGGCGGCGUGGUAAGUCACUUGUGAAAUCUCCGAGCUUAACUCGGAACGGUCAAGUGAUACUGCUGUGCUAGAGUGCGGAAGGGGCAACUGGAAUUCUCGGUGUAGCGGUGAAAUGCGUAGAUAUCGAGAGGAACACCGAUGGCGAAGGCAGCCUUCUGGGCCAACACUGACGCUCAUGCACGAAAGCGUGGGGAGCAAACAGG
rnacentral:rRNA from 1 species